GCAGAACGCGAAGAACCUUACCCACCUUUGACAUGUACGGAAGUUGCCAGAGAUGGCUUCGUGCUCGAAAGAGAGCCGUAACACAGGUGCUGCAUGGCUGUCGUCAGCUCGUGUCGUGAGAUGUUGGGUUAAGUCCCGCAACGAGCGCAACCCUUGUCAUUAGUUGCUACGAAAGGGCACUCUAAUGAGACUGCCGGUGACAAACCGGAGGAAGGUGGGGAUGACGUCAAGUCCUCAUGGCCCUUAUAGGUGGGGCUACACACGUCAUACAAUGGCCGGUACAAAGGGCAGCCAACCCGCGAGGGGGAGCUAAUCCCAUAAAGCCGGUCGUAGUCCGGAUCGCAGUCUGCAACUCGACUGCGUGAAGUCGGAAUCGCUAGUAAUCGUGGAUCAGCAUGUCACGGUGAAUACGUUCCCGGGUCUUGUACACACCG
rnacentral:rRNA from 1 species